rnacentral:tRNA from 2 species
GGGCCCUUACCUCAGUCUGGAUAGAGGACAUGGCUACGAACCAUGGCGCCACAGGUUCAAAUCCUGUAGGGCCCG